rnacentral:rRNA from 1 species
GAUGAACGCUGGCGGCGUGCCUAAUACAUGCAAGUCGAGCGGACGGACGAGAAGCUUGUUUCUCUGAUGUUAGCGGCGGACGGGUGAGUAACGCGUGGAUAACCUACUUAUAAUACUGGGAUAAUUUCGGGAAAGCGGCGAUAAUCCCGGAUAAUAUUUUGAACCGCAUGGUUCAAAGGAGAGAGACGGCGUUGGUGUCUCGAAUAGCUGGAUACGCGCUGCAUUAGCUAGUUGGUAAGGUAACGGCUUACCAAGGGGACGAUGCAUAGCCGACCUGAGAGGGUGAUCGGCCACACUGGAACUGAGACACGGUCCAGACUCCUACGGGAGGCAGCGGUAGGGAAUCUGGCGCAAUGGGCGAAAGCCUGACGAAGCAACGCCGGGUGAGUGAUGAAGCUCUUCGGGUCGUAAAACUCUGUUAUUGGGGAAGAACGCAUGUGUAUGUAACUGUGCACAUCUGGACGUAACCUAAUCAGAAGGACCGGCCAAAUUAGUG